rnacentral:rRNA from 1 species
UACGGAGGGUGCAAGCGUUAUCCGGAUUCACUGGGUUUAAAGGGUGCGUAGGUGGGUCUGUAAGUCCGUGGUGAAAUCUCCAAGCUUAACUUGGAAACUGCCAUGGAUACUAUAGGUCUUGAAUACCGUGGAGGUGAGCGGAAUAUGUCAUGUAGCGGUGAAAUGCUUAGAUAUGACAUAGAACACCAAAUUGCGAAGGCAGCUCACUACACGAAUAUUGACACUGAGGCACGAAAGCGUGGG